UAGCCUAUAUCUUAAUGGUAAAGAGACUGAUUGAUAAUCGGUAAAUAUAAGUUCGAUUCUUAUUAGGCUAA